rnacentral:rRNA from 1 species
UGGGGAAUUUUGGACAAUGGGCGAAAGCCUGAUCCAGCAAUGCCGCGUGUGUGAAGAAGGCCUUCGGGUUGUAAAGCACUUUUGUCCGGAAAGAAAUCCUUGGCUCUAAUACAGUCGGGGGAUGACGGUACCGGAAGAAUAAGCACCGGCUAACUACGUGCCAGCAGCCGCGGUAAUACGUAGGGUGCAAGCGUUAUCGGAAUUACUGGGCGUAAAGCGUGCGCAGGCGGUUUGCUAAGACCGAUGUGAAAUCCCCGGGCUCAACCUGGGAACUGCAUUGGUGACUGGCAGGCUAGAGUAUGGCAGAGGGGGGUAGAAUUCCACGUGUGGCAGUGAAAUGCGUAGAGAUGUGGAGGAAUACCGAUGGCGAAGGCAGCCCCCUGGGCCAAUACUGACGCUCAUGCACGAAAAGCGUGGGGAGCAAAACAGGAUUCAGAUACCCUGGUAGUCCACGCCCUAAACGAUGUCAACUAGUUGUUGGGGACUUCAUUUCCUUAGUAACGUAGCUAACGCGUGAAGUUGACCGCCUGGGGAGUACGGUCGCAAGAUUAAAACUCAAAUGAAUUGACGGGGUCAUA